rnacentral:rRNA from 1 species
CUUGCUGCUUCGCUGACGAGUGGCGGACGGUUGAGUAAUGUCUGGGAAACUGCCUGAUGGAGGGGGAUAACUACUGGAAACGGUAGCUAAUACCGCAUAACGUCGCAAGACCAAAGAGGGGGACCUUCGGGCCUCUUGCCAUCGGAUGUGCCCAGAUGGGAUUAGCUAGUAGGUGGGGUAACGGCUCACCUAGGCGACGAUCCCUAGCUGGUCUGAGAGGAUGACCAGCCACACUGGAACUGAGACACGGUCCAGACUCCUACGGGAGGCAGCAGUGGGGAAUAUUGCACAAUGGGCGCAAGCCUGAUGCAGCCAUGCCGCGUGUAUGAAGAAGGCCUUCGGGUUGUAAAGUACUUUCAGCGGGGAGGAAGGGAGUAAAGUUAAUACCUUUGCUCAUUGACGUUACCCGCAGAAGAAGCACCGGCUAACUCCGUGCCAGCAGCCGCGGUAAUACGGAGGGUG